AUACGGAGGGUCCAAGCGUUAUCCGGAAUCAUUGGGUUUAAAGGGUCCGCAGGCGGUCAAUUAAGUCAGAGGUGAAAGCCCAUCGCUCAACGAUGGAACUGCCUUUGAUACUGGUUGACUUGAGUUAUACGGAAGUAGAUAGAAUAAGUAGUGUAGCGGUGAAAUGCAUAGAUAUUACUUAGAAUACCGAUUGCGAAGGCAGUCUACUACGUAUAUACUGACGCUGAGGGACGAAAGCGUCAGUAUUGGUCCAGAAUUAGAUACCCCGGUAGUCC
rnacentral:rRNA from 1 species